rnacentral:rRNA from 1 species
GACGUAGGGCGCAAGCGUUGUCCGGAUUUAUUGGGCGUAAAGAGCUCGUAGGUGGUUUGUCGCGUUGUUCGUGAAAACUCACAGCUUAACUGUGGGCGUGCGGGCGAUACGGGCAGACUGGAGUACUGCAGGGGAGACUGGAAUUCCUGGUGUAGCGGUGGAAUGCGCAGAUAUCAGGAGGAACACCGGUGGCGAAGGCGGGUCUCUGGGCCGAUACUGACGCUGAGGAGCGAAAGCGUGGGGAGCGAACAGG